rnacentral:misc_RNA from 1 species
AACAGAAGAAACAGACAAGACAAAUGCUCUAUAGGAGGGAUAUAAGGAAUCACAGGAAACAAAUUUAGGUAUAGGAUGUUUAGUGCAAUUCCUACCUCCUUUUCUGAAAGCAAUAGGUAUAUCAAGAUCAUCAGAAAGAGAAUUAGAAUUAGAUUGAGUAUUAGGAGACUCACCACAUACUUAUUUAGGUUCAAGAUAUUCAAGAAAUGAAUCCAGGAUUUCUGACUGAUUAGGUGUAUCAAGCUCAAUAACUGCAUCCAUCUUUUCACGAGGAGUGCAAGUACUCAAAUCCACCCUAUUUAGUCUCUCUCUCUCUCUCUAUGGGUU